AUUGAACGCUGGCGGCAGGCUUAACACAUGCAAGUCGAGCGAGAGGCGGACGGGUGAGUAAUGUCUGUGAAACUGCCUGAUGGAGGGGGUUAAUAACUGGACGCUGUAGCUAAUACCGCAUACCAUCAGAUGUGCCGAGAUGGGAUUAGCUAGGAGGUGGGGUAAUGGCUCACCAAGGCGACGAUCCCUAGCUGGUCUGAGAGGAUGACCAGCCACACUGGAACUGAGACACGGUCCAGACUCCUACGGGAGGCAGCAGUGGGGAAUAGUGCACAAGGGGCGCAAGCCUGAUGCAGCCAUGCCGCGUGUGUGAAGAAGGCCUUCGGGUUGUAAAGCACUUUUAGCGAGGAGGCGUUACUCGCAGAAGAAGCACCGGCUAACUCCGUGCCAGCAGCCGCGGUAAUAC
rnacentral:rRNA from 1 species